rnacentral:rRNA from 1 species
GACGCAAGUCUGAUGGAGCAACGCCGCGUGAGUGAAGAAGGGUUUCGGCUCGUAAAGCUCUGUUGGUAGUGAAGAAAGAUAGAGGUAGUAACUGGCCUUUAUUUGACGGUAAUUACUUAGAAAGUCACGGCUAACUACGUGCCAGCAGCCGCGGUAAUACGUAGGUGGCAAGCGUUGUCCGGAUUUAUUGGGCGUAAAGCGAGUGCAGGCGGUUCAAUAAGUCUGAUGUGAAAGCCUUCGGCUCAACCGGAGAAUUGCAUCAGAAACCGUUGAACUUGAGUGCAGAAGAGGAGAGUGGAACUCCAUGUGUAGCGGUGGAAUGCGUAGAUAUAUGGAAGAACACCAGUGGCGAAGGCGGCUCUCUGGUCUGCAACUGACGCUGAGGCUCGAAAGCAUGGGUAGCGAACAGGAUUAGAUACCCUGGUAGUCCAUGCCGUAAACGAUGAGUGCUAAGUGUUGGGAGGUUUCCGCCUCUCAGUGCUGCAGCUAACGCAUUAAGC